ACAGCAAUAUGAAGGUCAGGCUGAAGACCUUACCCGAUUAGCUGAGAGGUGGUGCAUGGCCGUCGUCAGUUCGUACUGUGAAGCAUCCUGUUAAGUCAGGCAACGAGCGAGACCCACGUCCACAGUUGCCAGCAUACCCUCCGGGGUGAUGGGUACACUGUGGAGACCGCCGCUGCUAAAGCGGAGGAAGGAGUGGGCAACGGUAGGUCAGUAUGCCCCGAAUCUCCCGGGCUACACGCGGGCUACAAUGGUUGGUACAAUGGGCAUCUACCCCGAAAGGGGAAGGAAAUCUCUUAAAGCCAAUCGUAGUUCGGAUUGAGGGCUGCAACUCGCCCUCAUGAGGCUGGAAUCCGUAGUAAUCGCGUUUCAACAGAACGCGGUGAAUACGUCCCCGCUCCUC
rnacentral:rRNA from 1 species